ensembl:lncRNA
AUAUUAACUGAACAAUGAAAAGAAGUUUAUGCAACAAACAGCAAUUAGAAAGUAAAUAAGUUGAGUCUGUAGGUAAAAUGUAAAGAAGUUUACAGCACUUACCGAAGGAGGAAGGAAGGAGGAAGAAAGACUUGGUAGUGGGGGGGCUGGCGGAGAAGGGGUUCUUUGGAAGGCAUGGCCUUCUUUCCGCACCGUUCAACCAUUUCUCAACAUUUAGGGGGUUCACGGUGAUCUUGCAUCCAAACUUCACUACAAAUAAAGUUAUAUCACAGAAAAUACGUUGAGGGCACAAUAAAAGUAAAUACGUGAGUAGUUCAAAAGGUGUAAAACCAGUGCGUGCGCACAGCCCACUGACGAGUCACGGGACAUGCUUCCUCCUCCUUCCUCCUCCUUCCUCCACUGCGCAGUGUGCUUCGGGUUCAUCCCCACGCGGCAGCCACUCCUCUUCCUUCCAUGUGAUGUUCUCCGACUAGAAACUGCUGUGCCGAGUAAUAAGCUGGUGACUGUGUCUUUGCCUGAAACCAUAAAGUCAAAAUAUUACUUCUUGCAGCAUAUGGCAUUGGGUGAAAACAUGGUCAUACUGAAAAAAAAAGAAGCCACUGUCUGAAAAGCGUGGAACCGUUCAAAGCCGUAACGGCAGUAGGUCAUUACCGAACGUCUGUGUGCGGGCUGCGGGUGUAGCUGAGGGGCCGGGGCAGGAAGAGGCAGCACCCAGGCCUCCUUACAGGGUCUCACUGGGUAACAGUGAGCGGAGUCCUUCCGGCCGCGGGGGAGCCCGGACUGCAGACAAGCCUCCGCACACCCCGCCUCCCGGGCAGGGCCCAGGGCCCAAACUCCCUCCUGUGUUCUCCUUCAGCCGGAUUUGAGGGACUCGGGUGUGUCUGGGCUGAAAGUGUUAGAGCUUCCACCAAGCUGCUGCGGAUGUCCCCAGUGGGCGUUCGCUUGUGACUCUUAAAGAAACAGGCCUGAGGCCCGCUCUGACGGCCAGAGUCAGCUUAAGGGCUUGUUUCGUUCCGGGAGGAAUCGAGUCGCGUUGGGCAGUGAACACCCCCUGGGAGAAAGAACAGGACGCUUCACCUGUGCCCGCUGCUGUGUCCCCGGUUCUUCUGAAAUCUCCCGCACGCCGCGUCUGUUCUUAUUCCCCUGGGCCCGCUGGAAGCCCAGCUAGGGGCAGCCAGGGCCAAAGGGCACGGGCUUCGGGGCUGGCCAGAAGGGCACUCGGCUCCCCCACUUCCUCCCCUGACCACAUUCAAGUCGUCCCUCCCCUCCCGCCACCUCCCGCAACCUUCCUCCGCCCUCGCGUCCUCCUCGGAUGGCAUCACGCACGUUCUCUCUUAGCUGACGUCACCAGGCGCGAGCGUUCAUCCGCAUCUCAUCGGGAAGACUUUCCAGGGCUGGACUUGAACCCUGGAGCGCUCCCGGCACGUGUCUGUCCCUCCAGCGGUUCGGGGACUCUAGGAGACUCUUUCUCUGGCUCUCGCGCUGGCUCCCUGCCGCUGGCGCUCUCCCGGCCGUCGUCACCGUCCCGUCGUCACCGUCCCGGGAGGAGGGCCGGCCCGCAGUCGGCCUGUGGACUGCGGCGUGAGCGCCCGCGAGCUACGAGUCCUCCAACGGGCCCCGUGCUGCCAAGGCUAGUGAAGCCUGAGCGUCCGCUGCUCAGGGACAGAGAGGAGUCAGCUCGACCCGGAGGCCAGAGAGACCCCGGCUCCUCCGGGCCGUGACCUGGGGCCCCCGCCCUGCCCUGCGGCCCGCGGACUGCCCAACCUGACCGUAGAAUUUCUCUCGGUGUUUGGCGAGGGCCUUAGGGAGCCCAGACCCAGAACGCGAGCCUGGUUGAGAACGUGGAGAGACGCAGGUCGCUGGAACUCGCUGUCGUGGGAAACAGCGGCCACUCGCCGCCGAGGCAGAGGGCUCGCGGGCAGCAGCGGCGGCCGCAGGAGGCAGCCCGGAGGAGCCGGCGCCCGUUCUCCUCCCGCUCGGCUCUCCCCCAGCGCCCCCGCGGGCACCACCGGCGGGCAGCCGGCCGGCCGAGAGAGACGCGCUCGGCGUCCCAGCCCAGCGUCGCCGAGCGAGCGCAGGACGGCUCCGAAGCUGAGACAGUAGCCUAGGGAUCCGCACGUGGACCCUCACAUAUUAAAUGACUAUACAUUGGAGAGAGAAGAUCCAAGAUGGCGCCGUGAGUAGUCCUCUUUGUCUCUCCCCCUUCGAGUCUACAAUUAUUUGGACACUUAUCGCUUGACAAAGGAUAUCCAGACAGCAUCUCAGGAUGUCUGAGAGACCCACGCGACUAUACAUCGGAAGGCGGAUGGACUUUCCUCCGGGAGGAUGUGGAAAUAGGUGAAAACUCUCCGACCCCGACGAGCAGCCUAGUACCUGCAAGCGGCUUUCUUCCAACGGACGCCCCCAGAGGAUCUACACACAUCUAGGGCAGGAGCGAGCACACAACAGAGGAGCGACGGUGGAAACAGAUAUUGCCAGGUUUACACAUUCCUGUCAUCAGUGUGUGAGGAUGUCUGCUUCCCACACUCUGCCAACAUCGCAUCUUGCUCUGGAGACUUUCUGGUCUUUGUCAAUCUGACAGCGGGUCCUUGGACUUGGGCUUCCCGUACGUGAAAAGGAUGGUCCCAUAGAAGACGACCACAACUGUGAGGUGGAAAGAGCAGGUGGAGAAGGCCUUUUUCCUUCCCUCAGCUGAGGGGAUCCUCAGGAUGGUAGCAAUGAUGAACACAAAAGAGAAAGAGAUGAACACAACUAGGACCCCCUAGGAAGAUCACACUGGCCACCGCCAUACUGAUCACAUUGAUGGAGAUGUCAGCACAGGCCAACUUCAGGACAGCCAGGAUCUCACAGUUAACAUAAUUUGGUGUCAGAGAAGUGGAAUCCAAAGAGGACCCCCAGCAACUCUGAGAAUGGUGAGCAAACUGGUAUCAGUACCCACACACAGAGCCCAUUGAGGGCACUGCUUUCUGGCUGACUCACAGUGUGAAGAAAGGGACUAUACCAGGUCCUCCUCACUACCCAGAUGGCAGCCAAUCUUCAGGGAUUUGAAGCUUGGGUGCACAUAUCAGCACUAAAGAAGGCUCCACCUGACAUCUGGUUCUGAACAAAUGCUGGAGACUUCCAGGCCAAGCUGACUGGGAGGAGAGGCAGCCGACAUCUGAGGUGGACAGCUUUCCCAGGGUGACUGAACCAGGCCUCUGUGCCUUUUUCUAGCUGUUGCUUCUUCUCUCUUUCUUGUGUAGGGGCAAUGCCCUUGUCCACAUUCCCCAGGCCCCUGCAAAGGGGGAACCCUCUUCUUUUGAUUAUGGCCUUUCAGAAACAGCCUCAUCAUGAUCCCAUGACAAAUUAAUCUUUUCAUUUUUUUUUCUGGAGGGUUAGAAGAUUCCAAAUUCACAGAAAUUUUUCUUUCAUCUGGACUAUUAACUCACUCUAGA